GGAAAAGAAGAGAAGAGACGAGAGAUACACAAACGGAGAAGAAAGGAGAAAAUCAAUUUUUGAUAUCUUUGUUGUACGUCUUUCUUAUCUCAUUUGAGAACGAUCAGUAGGAGUUGCAUCUUUAAAUUGGCAGUGUUCUCGUCUGAUUCUGCAAAAACUCGAAAUUCAGGACUUAUACAUUGUAGAGAAACUGAAAACAGUUUAUUGAAUCGGGUAGCUCAUAUUUGAAUUUUUGAUUGCUGAAUGUGUUUUUCGAAGAGAACAACACCUCUUAAGUUAGUCAAAUAAUCCAUUUUCUUUGAUGUUAAGUUUCUGUAGUUUUUUUGGUUGGAACAUCCCUAAAGCACGACCCACUCAACUUGAGCCGAAGGAAACAGUGAGAGUGAGAUCAUUAUAUUCAUCAUUGUGUGUGAUUUUUUUUUUU